UCCCCUGUAGCUUAAGAUAAAUAAAGCAGUAGGCUUUUAACCUAAAUAUACACACUCGUUGUCCGGGGAA
rnacentral:tRNA from 1 species